AAAUAUAAUCCUGGAUCUAGUGUUCAUAUAGCGGUUGGCUCUGCGGAUCAUCAUAUUCAUUAUUAUGACUUGAGGAACACCAGCCAGCCGGUUCACAUUUUUAGUGGCCAUAGAAAAGCUGUUUCAUAUGUAAAAUUUUUGUCCAACAAUGAACUUGCUUCAGCAUCAACAGACAGUACUCUACGAUUGUGGGAUGUAAAAGAUAAUUUGCCGGUUCGCACGCUUAGAGGACAUACGAAUGAGAAGAACUUUGUUGGUCUCUCAGUGAACAAUGAAUUCCUGUCAUGUGGCAGUGAAACAAAUGAAGUAUUCGUGUACCAUAAGGCGAUAUCCAAACCCGUGACUUGGCAUAGAUUUGGUUCCCCAGACAUAGACGAAGCGGAUGAAGAUGCAGGAUCUUAUUUCAUCAGCGCAGUGUGCUGGAAGAGCGAUAGCCCUACGAUGCUAGCUGCUAAUAGCCAGGGAACUAUAAAAGUGUUAGUCCUUGCAGCUUGAUGAAGUUAAUAAAGCUACUAGUUAAGAAUGUUCAAAUCUUUUUAGUGGAAAAACAGUGAAAUGGAAUUUCACAUUCAAUUUUUCUUCUGUAGAUAUCUAUUCAACCAUCAAGAUGGCAUGGUUCCCCCCAUAUUUGUCAAUGUAUUCAUCAUUAAAACAUGUAACACAAGUUGUAGGGCUUGGUAAAUUU
rnacentral:misc_RNA from 1 species